GCAAGCGUUACUCGGAAUUACUGGGCGUAAAGCGCACGUAGGCGGCUUUUCAAGUCAGGGGUGAAAUCCCGGGGCUCAACCCCGGAACUGCCUCUGAAACUGGAUGGCUAGAAUCUUGGAGAGGCGAGUGGAAUUCCGAGUGUAGAGGUGAAAUUCGUAGAUAUUCGGAAGAACACCAGUGGCGAAGGCGACUCGCUGGACAAGUAUUGACGCUGAGGUGCGAAAGCGUGGGGAGCAAACAGG
rnacentral:rRNA from 1 species